CAUAAACUACUUGGAUCGAUGUCCACACGGUUCCUUCGACGCACCGUCCUUCCUCCUUUUCCCCCAUAUAAGACACAGAGAAGCGAGGCUAGAGCUGGUGCUCCAGGAACUCCUGAGAUGGCUUUGGGAGAUGCCGGGGAGAAGAAAGAGGGAGAUGCGGCGACGAUGCUGCUGAUCUCGCGCGCAGAAAUAGGCCAUCCUAUCGAUGCAUCGGCUUGGGGCGACGAGAGGAGGAUGAAGGAGGAGUUGGUGACUUGGGCAAAGGCAGUGGCCGCCAUGGCGAUCCGUUCGGCUCAGCAUUUGCGGCGAGAGGACAGCACGUUGCGAAGACGCUCCAUUCCUUACUAAUUAGUUAGUCCUUGUUUCUUGUAUGCCCACUGGAGUCCGCCAUUGUUGCUCGUGUUGUAGUUCCUUUGAUUGAACUCCUCUUUGUAUAUGAUGAGUGCAACAUACUUGUGUUGUUCGUGAACUCAAUAUAUAGCUCACCCUCACGUAUAUACACAGUACCAAGAAAACCAGUGAAAGUGAGAUAUCUCUUUUCAUCAUGAUUGAGUUCUAAUGAGCUCAAUAUUACCAUUUGAAUAUCGAUCAUGAGUUGUCUGUGCUAUCACUAUUGGGUCAAACACUUGGGGAAUGAAAUCUCUUUAUAUCGUAGCAUGGUUAGAAUUGAGAGAAUCCCGAAUUCCAGUUGGUCCACCUGGGUCUUCUUCUUCAUCUCUCUCUCUCUCUCUCUCUCUCUCUCUCUCUCUCUCUCUCUCUCUCUCUCUCUCUCUCUCUCUCUCUCUCUCUCUCUCUCUCUCUCUUUCGCGGCACACACAUGGCUGUUCUAUGCCGAAUUACCAGUUGAUGCACCUGGAUCUUCUUCUUCUGCUCUCUCUCUCUCACUCUCACAUCUUCUUCUUCUGCGUCUCUCUCUCUCACACGCAUACACACACAAACAUCAAGAUCGGGGAAUGAUAUCACGCUCGCCAUUUCGCGUUGGUCUUCGGUGUACGUUUGUCCUUGGAAUAUUUCAGCCUCCAAAAGAUAGCACUCCCGCUAAACUUCUGUCCUUCUCUCUGACUUCUCCUGCAUGUGCAGUGGCUAUUAUAUAUCAGAAUUCAAUGUUUUUGGCACAGGUGUAGCCAAUGAUUCUAAUACAUAGUGUUAUGUUGACAAAGCCAAAAUCGAACGCGGCAUAUCUUUCAGACCUCCCUCUCACUUUACGCGGAGAGGCAUAUAUUUUGUGUCGAGAAAGAUUGAACAUUCUUCCAGCCAAGCGCUCAUCUUUGACGGUCAAAAUUACUCUUAUUUAUUUAUGUUUUGGAACCUUUUUUGCUUGCCAUAAUCUUGUACUGGAUUUUACGAAUAAAAAACAUCCCCUUUUUCUGUGUUCAUUUCAAUAUUGUUUAGAAGUAGUGUAUUUAUCCUUACAAAUAUAUAUAUAUAUAUUUCUCUCUGAUGUGUUUCCUUCCAGUCACUACUAAACAUUAAUAUCUGUUACUAGUUUAAACUCAAAUAACAUGAAAAAUAUUAAAGCACCUAAUAUAUCCUUAAGAUAAAUAUAUGAUACAUUGAUAUCCAUCAAUCCCUAAUGGUUGCCCAAACUCCAAAAAAGCCAGUGUGAAAUCUGAUUCCUUUUCUGCUCUGCUAGUCUGCUGAGUGCAUGAGCAAGCAGAAACCAUGUCAUCCUACAAUCCAGUGGGUCUCAGUUUGUGAGUGCUUUUGUUCCCAUUCUUAAUGUCGCACAUGCAACAAAGGGAGACCAAAGAAUAUUAUACUGCAAAGGAAUUGUGACACGACCAUCACGAGCUUCUGCAGAGAUCUCCAACUCUCCGUUGUUUAUGGAUCGAUUCCCUCUGCAGCCACAGAACGAAGCUGGUGUCCACGCGUUUCCUUGGACGCACAUCGUUUCUACUACACUAGCGUGUUCCUCGUUCUUCCUCCUCAUCUCCUCUAUAUAUUGCUUUCUUCCGAAACUGUUGGCACAGACAUGGAUUUGAGAGCUCCGUUCGUACCUCAAGCCGCCGGAGAGGAGAAGAAAAGCAGCGCGGCGGCGACGAUGCUUCUGGCUCCGGGUGCAAAAGUGAGUCAGCCUAUCGAUCCUUCCGCUUGGAACGACGAGGAGAGGAUGAAGAAGGAGAUAGUGGCUUGGGCGAAGGCGGUGGCCUCCAUGGCGAUCGGUUCGCUGCAGUGCUCACAGCUGGAGGAUCUUUCGACGGCGUAAUCCGGUCGUCUGGCUCGUAUGAACAUGUCGUCCUUUUUCUUGUGUGCCACUGCAGAGCUCUCCCACUGUUACCAGUUUUUUCCUUGCAGGGGUGCAUUAUUAUUCUUGUAUUGGGUAUAUUUUUACUUGAGAAGCACAUUACUGUAUUUUUUUUCUCCUUAUCCAAAAAUUAAUAAUUUGGAAUAAGUAUUUUUAACAUAUUUUUUUCUUAAAAAUAUCUUAUUAUAAUGAUGAUCAUAAUGGAAGAAGGGCUAAAAUUGGCCGAGGAAUACUGAGUGCCUUCUUAUUAUUCUAGGGUUUAUCACGACAACUGGUUUUGUGUGGAUUUAUGGGGUUUUAUUUUUGUAUUUACUUAAAUCAGGUGAUGGAUGAGAGAGACAAGAAGAUCCAAGAAUACUUAUCUUGAUUUGACAUGAGAUCUUCCCGGUUGGAGACAUUGUCGUUGACCUAAACUCCAAAUCCAACUCGACAUGACAAAUGACAACCAAAAGGAUAAUUAUUUAUGCAAGCAAGCCAAAUUACGCCUGUCAAGGUCUAUUUUAAGUUCAAAUGGAAUAAUUAUCCAUUGAUUUGAUGGUCUUCAGUCAUCAUCAUCUUAAGUUAAUAAUUAUAGAUCCAAUCUUUUAUCAUUGGAAGCUUUUAAGUAGAUCAAUCCCCUCCUCAGACGUAUACUAACACAAGUGACUCUUUUGUUUAUUUAAAAUAAUAAUUAAAAAUUGAUUUAGUGCAUUUAUUUAUUUGGUAAUAGCACAUGAGUGUUGAUAUUGCAAGUACAUAAACAUGACUACAACAUCGAGAGAUUCUUUUAUCUCGAUCAAGCCAACAUAUAAUUAAUCUGUGAUUAUUCUUCGAUCAUAAGAACAACAAAAGUCAUAAUGAAGAUUAGAGAACAAUGCAACUACCUUAUAGAAUAUAAAGUGCAUGGACAUAGAAUAUGCUUAAAAACAUAUGAUAAAUGACUUUCUUAUCAACUCCAUCUUAUUAAGGUUGCACCAAAAAUAUAAAAAGAGAAAUGUUGUACAACUAAUUAUUAUAAGUAAAAUUAGAUAGGAAAAGGUAGACCUUAAACAUCAUAUAUACAGAUACUCUACCCACACGCUUGUUCUUUGCAUCUUGUACUGUUUUACAAGCUUUCAGAGUGGAAGUGAUGCCCUACGACUUCCAGAGCCUUGUAAUGCAUAAGUUUAGCUCAGGUCAAGAUGAAAGAUUCUGGAGAAUGCACCAAAAUGCGUUCUGUCUCCUUGUCGUUGCCCGGAGAUGACGAAGCAUCUGAAAAUUGAAGUAAAACACAAUGUUUGCCACAUCAACAAGAACAAAUCGAUGAAUAAUAUAAAAUUUGCAUCUUCUCUUUUUCUAAGCUUCAAAAGAAUUAAGUCUUUGUAAUCUUCCACAUUAGAUCAUGUGCCUACGGCAAGCUUUUACUUUGAUGCCUUCUUCGACCAUGUCACAAACAAGUUAAUCAAGCAAAUAUGUACCUAGGUCUGUCAUCUCUAUAGGCAACCUGUUUGAUCGCUAAAAUGGACUGCCCACCAAAAACCAGAUACAAGAGGGUUGGUAUGUGAUCACCUAAAUUACAAGAGGAACAGUUGGGAGGAUUCGUCUGCUCACCAUCCCUACACAAGUCUCUGUGUCAAACAGGCAGGUUAGGAUACGAAUUUUUAUUUUCAAUACCACCAAAUGCACGAAUGCUUACACAGUUGAUGCUACUGAACUACAACAAGCUUACCCCAAGUCUCCUCGCCCUAAGGUUUACAACCUGAUAUUUUUUACUCCAAUUUACACGAUAGAUAAUUAAUAAUGAUACUUUAUCAGAACAAAUCAAAUUAAGAGACUUUGCAUAAAUUUCAAUUAUUUUAUUUUUCCCAAAUUUGCUGCCUAUUGACAGCUUUCUCCAGCUAAAGCACCACAGCAUUAAAAAGAAUAUAAAACACAUAGAAGGCAAUGUAAAUUAAUAUCAAGUAUUUGAAUGGUUAUAGAACUUCUUAUACCUUAAAUAUCAAUAAUGCCUAUUGGGUGGAGUAGCUUCUUUCAUGAACCAUUAAAGGAGUCACUUGAGGAACCAAGUACUUUCUGCUUUGGGACCCGAACAAGCCUAAUGGUCUCUGCUGCAGUGAAAAUCUCAUCUCUCUCUAUUUGUUUUAACUCAACUAGUACAGGCUUGACCCUUCUCCAGUAGUCCACUAUCUCAGAAUCAGAUAAUAUAAUAGUUAAAGAUAUUAAGCUGGACAGGAAGUUGCAAUACCAGUCUUUAAUUUCCUUUCUAUAUCAGAAAGGAAAGAACACCCAUUUCAUUUUCUUACACUUGCUACAUAAACCUCUCUUACACAUCAAUACUCUAUAGCACAAGAAACUGAUGUAAGUCACAGGGAAAGGACUGGCCACAGAUAAUCUGUGAGCCAAAAGAUGCCCUAUAUUAAAUAAAAUAUAAGAAUCUUUUUUGCCGUUUGCAUAUUACAACAUGCAAAAUAAGGUUAAUUCAAAGAAGAAAUCAUAUAUUCAUAGUGGUAGAUGGUAAGUAAUGACAAUAGAUACCAAGUUUUGCAAAUUUAUGUAAGAAAGGUAAGAAAACAGAAAUAUUAACAGAAGAAAGCAAGAAAUAAUAUAGAUAUGAGAAACAUAAAGGUUCAGAGCAAAAAGGACAAAAGGCAAAGACAAUUUAUUUGCACCAGAAAACAGAAACUGUACAGACAGACUUGUGAGUCAUUUUUGAGAAUCUAUUGUUAGAAAAGUGAAAGACAUAAAAAGAGAGAUGGCCCAGAGUUACGAAUGAAUGGACGUAGAAAUAAGACCAGUGCUCGUGACUGUACAAGACCCAAUUUGAACUUCGACCCAGUUCAAUCCAACUAAGAUCCAGACAACUACAGGAAAUGACUUCAAGGACUUGCAGGAUCUUGAGGUACAUAUUUCCAGUCCAUAGAUAAGGACUAAUGACAGAUGCAACUUCACAAAAAGUCCUAUACGCAUGCAGAAUGGAAGACUAGGAAUUACUUAUUGCCACAACUAAAAAAAAAAAGUCUAACCUGCAAAAGCCUGGCCAAACCCUGGAGGAAAAUCCUCUACUGCAUCAGAAUUUUCACUUCAGCCCAAGAGGUAAUCCAUCUGCCUAUGUUCUGGAUAUUUUCACUACUACAUGGUGUAAUACCCUAUUAAAAAGAUCUGGAUAUUUUUCGCUUUAACAACCAAUACCACUCUACAAAAAACACAACUGGCUACUAAAUAUGAGAUAUAGUUGGAUCCAUCCAUCCUAUAAAGUGAAGUACAUCCAAUUUUUCUAUUGCCUUGAAAUUCCCAAUUUUCUUGGUAUAUUUUUCAUAUAUAUAGUUUGCUUUCAUUUCUAUUAUUCUCAGUCACUACUGCACAUAAUAUGUCAUUGUUAGUUUUGCCAUUCCUGUCAUUGUUGAAAAUCAUUAUCUAUCAUUUCAUCAGUUACCUUAUCAUUUCUUUGGAUAAAAGGCACCAUCCUUUUUUGAGCUGUCGUAUGCUUCCCCAUGACCUUAAACCUUUAAACAAUAAAUUUGAACCUUAUAGUAUUACCUAUUAUUGAAUCUCCCUUCAGAUGAAACAAAGGCAAGCAUUCAUCUAGAUGAUUUGAUAGCAAUCAAUAGUCAAUGUUAAAAAACAACAAAGGCAAAGCCAUCCAUGAAAAUAAACCUAAUGAAAUUUUGACAGAAUUCAGUGCAAUCAUCCAAGUGAUUAUUUAAUUAAUGAUCUUUAUCCUUCUACAGAGAAAGUGAAAAAAGUUCAAGAUAUGCUCUAAAAGAAAAGAAAGAAAUUAUAAAGAGCAUACAUCAUGUCUAACAUAAAUAUCAUACAAGCUAUUAUACUAGCUCAAUAACUGACAUAAAGGAAGCUUUCUUAACGUGGCAAAAAAUUGUUAAAUACAAGUUAUUUGUAGUAAGGGCCAUUUUGGGGUAUCAGAUUUUUUCACUCAUCCGGCGAACAAUAAAUAUCAUUUGUGACGAUCUAAUUAUACCUAUCAGCAACCGAAGUAGGGGAACUCUUUGUAUUCCCAAAAUGCUCAAGUCCAAUUCAUCAAGUGACGCUUAUAAGAAACUGCCCAUUCUCCUAUAGUCUCUGAUAUAGGGCAAUUUCUGAUAUCAUACAUCCAAUCCAACAAAUAUAUCUUCCGGAACGAAUAUCACAUUUCUUUGUGAUUCAUAUUUUAGAGAUAAAAUUUUUAGAAUCAACAAGAAGCAAUAAUGUAGCAAAAACAAUGUAAAUAAAACAAAGGCAAGGAACAAGGAAGUUAAGCAACCAGGAAGAACUAUAGAAGAUGCAAAUAUAAAGAUGAAGACACACCUUUGAUGUAUUUCACACAGAGAUGCUAGCGCAUCCUUCCACUUCGACGCUCAAUCUCAUCAAAAUCCUCCAUUAUGCCCUUAAAAAAUUCAGAAUCAAAACCCUCGCCAUCCUUCUCUGCUCCUCCAAUUCCUUCCUCUUCUUCUUCGUCUACUUCCAAAAUCACACCUUUCUUCUUCACUUCCUCCUCCGCACCAACUUCAACCGCUGGCAUGUGCCCCUCGAACAGAGUGAUAUGCCCAAAAAGCUUAUCCUUCCUCGAGAAGCUUGUCCCACACGAGCACCGCCACCGGGUCAUUCCGCAAUGCUUGAGGUGGCUCCUAAGGUCAGCCACCACCGAGAAGUUCUUCUUAUUGCACCGGUGGCAAGAAUACAUCUUGGGGCAGUGGCUCCUCUUGAAGUGGUUCUUCACGCACGCCACCGACUUGAGUGGUCGGAACUUCUUGUGCGCCCGGUUCCUGUUGCACCCGGGAUACGGGCAAGAGAACCUAACUCUUCUCCCGGGUACCGCCUCCCCGCCAUCCGACGGGCGAACUUCCCGGUCCGGCUUCGAGAGGGCUUCCAGGGUCUUGAACCGGUCGCCGUGAGCUCUCAUGUGCAUCCGGAGGUUCGCGUCACGCUUGAAACCCUUGCCGCAGAUCUCGCAGAGGUGGACGUGUUCCGCCAGAAGCUCUGCAGCAUCGAUCUCCACUAUGUCGUCCUCCUCCCCGAUCGCCGCCGCCGGAUCCGAGGUCGGCGGCUCGGAUCCGUUUCCGAAUUGGAUGGACGGCGGACUACCGGAUCUGGUCUCGGCGAAGCGAGGGGUCACUGCAUCUCGAGAGGUGGGACCACCAGCGGCAGCGAAGGAGGGGGAGGGAUUAAGCGGUUGGGAGGAGGCGAGGAGAGCGGCGCCGUUGAGGAUGAUCCCCUGGACGGCCGAGGCGAUAUGGGAGGAGACCAUCUGUAGCUGGUCAUCGCCGAUGACGGUGCGACUGUCUAUGGCAUCAGAGAGGAAGCGGCGGAGGGAGUCCAUCUUCUGGCCGAGGGCGGAGAGGUUGAGGAGGGGUAGGAAGGGGUCGUGGCUCGCCAAGGGCGCGCCCCCGGGGUCACCGCCGCCACCGCCGAGGGGCAAGAACGGCUCCUGGCCAGGGUUCCGACCGCCGGAGCCAUUCAUCUUGAGAGGGGCGGACGGUAGUGGUGGAGAGGAAAAGGGCCUCAGCUUUGUUGACGGGGAAGGAGUUCCAUGUCGUGUCGACCUUUGUAGUCGCUAAAAGCGGAUUAGCGGAAAUGUGUCUUACGGUCUUUAGUCGACAAACGUGCGGAGCCCACGUUGAAGCCACACCUUUAUGGCAGGUAGCUGAAUGGGUAGACUGUAGAAAGGUCCUUAAGAAGCUUCUUUUAGAAAAAGCUCAGCUAACCUGUGUUGGUCGAGCCACCAAAAAUACCAAUGGCUGAUUCCAAUGGGUCAAGGAGUGGGUCCCCUUGGCAUUAAACAACCUAUGGGAAUGAGCUGCUUCCGUAAUAUUGCAAACUCCACAAGACUAGGGAUAUUAAUUGAUUAGCAUAAUGAUAUUGAAAUUUAAAUUAAAAUUAAAAUUUUAAAACUAUAAAUUUAGUGAUAAUCAUGAAUAAUAGAGGAUAAUAUUUGAAUGGCUCCAUAUUAAUAUUUGAAUGUUCAACAAAAUAUUAUUAGAAAAAUUAAAACAAUUCGUAUUAAUAUUUUCGGAUGCACUAAAAAUAUCGUAUGAACGUUGUUUUAAGAAAAUAUUGUCAUCAGUCAUUGUGAUUCCUUCCUAAGAUUAUUUUCUCGUUAUCAAUCUCUUCUUAUUAUUGUGUGUCUCUUAUUCAAGUAAAAUUAUUCUAAUUAUCGUGCUAUAUGUGUUUUAUAGCAUUCUAUAUAUGAUAUUAUUUUUAUCCUAUUUUAUGUGAUUAAAUUUUUUUCUAUUUGUUAAAGAUUUUUUAUUUAUUCACUAAUUUUGAUAUUUUAGAUUUUAACUACAUAAAAUUUUAAAUUAUUUAUAUGUUUCAAAAUAUUUUUAGUCGACAUAACAGUUCAACCAAUGAUGGAAGGCUUAGCUGAAUCACUUGUGAGUAAUAUCAAUAACUAUAUUUGCUCAUCCACCUCAAAGAACACAAACAUCUCCACAAACCAGUAAACUGACAGUUUGUUUGAUAGGAUGUCAUAAAUAACAUUUCUGUCUCGAAACAUUGUGAUACAAAUCUUGAAAUGAAUUUAUACGAAAGUAACAUCACAAGAACACAGCCUAUACAAGAUUAAUGGUGAAGCUCACCGUUACACUACGGUACAUGUACCACAAAUAGUAGAAGAUUGAAAUUAACUAGUUAUUUUGACUCAAAAACACCCUUAAUUCGCAUGCGAAGGGAAAAGAGUCAAAGGAGACGAAACACAGACUCCUAAUAAUAGCAAAUUAUCAUCAGUCAUGCUUCCAGUUUGACUGCUGCUUCAUGUUCAGAUGGCAGACCUCCUAUUUGUCUACACACAACUAUAUGUAGUGGAAGAAUCGCACUCUGUAUUCAUAGACGUCCAAAAAGCCAAAAAAACAAAGAGUGCAGGAAAAAGUUGUACCUUAAGCUCCUGCCACCCACGUACAUUUCUAUUUUAUUCUUGGAACAAACGGACAGUGCUUUUCCACCAUCCACUGUACAUUGCAUCCACCCAAACCAUCACAUCCUCUCACUAGCUCGCUCACCUCACAAAAUCCCAAGAGCUUCCGAUUGUGUUACAUGGAGUAAAAAUUGGAAAGAGCUAAUACAGGUAGAAAGGCCAGAAGGAAAUGUAAGCAAAGGGUUUUUUUUAGCUCUUUCCACCAAGUCUCUCGUAGAACAAGAUGUACCCAUGAUCUGUGUUGCCUGAAAACUCCUGAGAGGAACCAAAGAAUGUCUGCACAGUUGAUUCAUCGAUCAUCUCCACAUUUUCGUCAUCAAAUAACAGCCAGUGGUUGUGGCUUUUGACAAGGCUAACGUAGUGACCAUGGUUGGGACCGCUCCCCACGUGGACCACAACUGCAAAGAGAGAGUACUCGGAGUCCGCAUCUUCGACCGUGUUAGUAAGUUUCAGCUCCAUGGGAAACACCACACGGUACGAUAAUUUCUUGUACCGACCAAGCUGCUCAAUGUAUUUGAACCGUUUGAGGUGGAUCACAAGAAUAUGUGGCGGCUUCUUGAUCUUCAUUCUCUUCUGUGCUUCCUGCAAACUGCAGAGUGAAACAGAACUCCAUGCUUCAGAAACAGUUAGUUAGCAAUGGAUGAUCCAACACAAAAGUGGCAAGAAAGAUUUUUCAAGGGAAACACAAUAUGCUAACGCUUUAUUCAACACUUUAUAUAAUUGAAUCACCUUCCCAUGACCAUAGCACUUACUAUUAAUCUAGACCUAUAUCGUUCUCCAAGUUGUUGAACAAGCAUUUAGAUAAUUGCACUCGUGAAGUAAAGUUCAAGCAUUCUAGUUAAAAGCUAAAACUUUCAGAAACGAUGCAACUAGCUAAAGCAUGUGAGUCUGAAUGCACAUGGUUAUAUGAAUCUCACAAGCAACGACAAAAAAGAUUUUACUAGGCAACAAGAUUAUGAACCACAACAAAGAAACCAGUGAAGCACCUGCAGCACUUAUCACAGAAGAACUUGUCCUCAGCAUUUAAGGUCUCUGUUGAACUGAAGUUUUUGAGGCAGCUUGUUAUAGAACUGUUCUGCUCAAUAUCAAGGCUCAAGUCAAGAAAUGUUUCAUCCCUUGCAGUAACAGUUUCACAACGUAAGCAUCUUGUUUCAUUGGUCAGUAUGCCCUGUCGCAAGAAAUGUAAGCUUACGUUGGUAUCAAGAAGCAUCACUUAUUUCGUGCUAUACAUGUCAUAUUGAACAGAAGAUGCACAACAAAUUAGGGUACUCGAUUCACCUGAAAGUUCUUGUGAACCCAUGUAACAAGUGGCUCCUUUUGCACACCAUUAGCCACAGGAUGGCUUGGUCCAUUGGCAAUCUUUUUAGAUGGUGACAAGGUUUCUGGGGAACUUUUUGCAGCAUCAGACUCUUUUUCCAGAAUAUCAACAAGCUCAUUCAGCAAGAAAUUCAAAAACUCAUGAGCAUCCUAGAGAAUCCAAAGAAAACAAACAAGAUUAGCUAGCAAAAUCACAAAAUUAGAAGAUGUAGAAAUAAGAGCUACAUGGAUGAUGAGAUACAACUUCAACAAAGUAUUUUACCUACAAAUGCCUUUCAGAUGAUAAAAUUUUUCAUCCACAGACUGAAAGAAAUCCCACAGACAAAAGUAACAGAAAAAAGAGGUCUGUCUCGACAAACUGAUUAAACAACAGAAACAUUUUGCAAAAUAACUAGGCUAAAGGAUGUAUAAUCAAAUUGCUGCGGUUCAUAGACUAUUCGUAAGCCUGAUUGGAGAAAUUUGAUGAGAAGAAAAACAAAUGGACAAUGAUCAACAAAUCUGCUUGACAACUGCAGUUUACUUUAAAUUUUGAAAUUCAUUUCAAAUGAAAUUGUUUUGACAAAGUAGAAGAUAGACCAGAGCAAAACAUUCAAUUUCGGUACUGGACCUGUGCCGGUCCAUGGCCAGACUGAUAUGGGUCCAGUCCAUUCCUGCGUACCAUAUGGCGAAAUAUGUAGGAACAUACCAUCGUACAGAGAAGGGGGAGGAGGAAGAGAGGAGGCAGCAGAGAAUGGUGCGGUAGAGACGAGGGGACAAGACGGAGAAAGAGAGGAGAUGGCAGUGGCAAUGGAAAGGAGGGGAAGCAACAGAGAUGAAGCUGUGGUGGUGUAAGAGGAUGAGGAGAGGAUAGUACUGAUCGGCAGAUGCAAGUGACGUCAUUAGCAUGUGGAGGUGGACGUGGGUGGCAGCAGAUGCAGGCUACAAUGGACACAGAGCGAAUAAUGCCAGACGAAUGGGAUUAGGUAUUAGGGUUUUUAGUUUAUAUUUGGGCCUGGACUGGGGAAUAUGCCCUGAAUCGCAUGUGGCCUGCUCGAAAUUGCCGUCCGCAUGCCGGUUCACACUCGGAGCAGUCAUUACUGGUUGGUGCACAUCGAACUGGGUGAAAUUGGUCUCGAGUGAAAAAUGUUCAUGCUGAGGUAGUUGAUUGGAUGUAUAGACCUAAUGCAACUAUGAUGUCCACAUAUUGCCUCUAUUAUUAACAAAUUUAUCAAGUUAACUUAAUUACCUGGUGCAUAUAACUACGGAAAUACUCAUUCUGUUUCUUCACUCUCUGCACAAAGCGUUUUGGAGCAAUAACACCAGUUUUUUUCUUUUGGGAGCUAAUCUGCACAAAAUACCAACCAAGAUAUAAGUACAACCAAUAUCAUAUGCAAGACUUGCACUAAUACAUACAUGAUAAAUUAUAGCAAUAAGACUCUCACAGUGACCAAAAUUAGGCUAUUCAAUAAUGAGGCAGAUAUUAUUUGUUUGGCAACAAACAUUAUCAUCACGAUCUACAUGCAAAUUUCAUUUGGCAAGGAAAUGGUCAAGUGGCAUAGGAACCAUUUGAACUUCAGAACAAGUUGUGAAGCUGAAACCUCCAUAUACUAGUAUCUGAUCCAACACAUUCCAAGAUCAGGCAAAAAGGUUUUCCUUAGGAUCCAAAAGAGCACUUCAUAAGACCAUCUUUUUCGGUCAACCUUUAUGAUCAAACACCUGCAAAAAUUUUCCUAUACUUGAAAGCAGUUUACGAUACUUAACAUGGCAACAACUCUGUCCAUUUAACCAAAUUUCUAUCUCAAACAUGCUUUGGAUUUACCCUCAAUGUUCAUAAAAUGGCCAUCAAGAAGAAAAUUUCCAAUUGGCAGGUGAGAACAAUGGCAACAAAAUCUAUGGGAAUAAUCUAGAAGAGUGAAAUUCUUUCAAAAUUACAGAAGAAUAAAGAAUCAUACUGUUCAAACUUAAUUCUAUGUCUUAUCUAUGUUCUCAUGGCAGAUCUCCUAUCUACUGGGUCAAUGCUCCAACUAAAACAUUAGUUUCAACACUCUUUAAUAAACAUUAAAAAGCUCCAGUAUAUAUGCUGAACUCAUAGAUCUCAUAUGCUUUCAGGUUUAUUCGACUACUUGAUAAAUAUCAGAGGCAAAAGACCAAAUAGAUAUUAAAAUUUGAUACCUCAUAAGUUCAUAAAGUUAUUUUGAACACCUUUAGUAAGGUACAUUACUCUAACUUCAUAUGGAACUACAUUGAAACCAAAGUAAGUUAGACUUAUAUGAAGUGAAGAUAGACAGUAUAGUCAACCAGAGUAAAGACAAAAGCCUACAAUAGCAAAUAGUAAAUGAUUUAUCUAUAAAAUCCUGUCUGCAGAGAAAUGGGAGAACUCACACAUUUUGUAGUAUAGUAUGAUAAAAUGAAUUUCAAUAACUACAAGUAGAUCAGCAUAGUUGUGCUAUUCAACUAAAAUAUUAGCCUUCAUAAAACUAAUAGUAACAAAAGGAUGAUCCAAUCAAGGUUUGUUAAACUCGUGAUUUGGGCAAUAGCAUGGAGCGACCUUACAGCCCAGAUCUUACUUCUCACACCAUCUUGUGGUAUAGUAUGAUAAAAUAAUUUUAAAUCAUUUAAUCCCUUUUAUUGUUUCAUUCUUUCCUCUUUUUUCCAAAUCUCUUCUUCAUAAUCCUGUAGUGCAUGUUUAUCUUGUGCUCUUAUUGUAGCCAUUGUAAAAGUUUAUCUUUCCCUUGUUGCAUGAGAUGACCAAUGUAAAAGUUUAUUGUAGUGUCCUUUCGAAUACAUAUGCAGUCAUUCUAGUAUCUGAACUCAUACAUGAUUCAUUGUGACUCCUUAUGAAGAAAAAAAAGGAUAUUAAAUCUAUCUAAAUGUCUCUUUGUGAAUUACAUACUGUGUAAACAACUGAACUGCAUCCUUUAUUAUUUAUUUCUUUUUUAAUUAAAAAUAUCUUUCAAUUACUUUCAAUUGUUUUGUCAAAAUGUCUAAGAGAAAAAAUAUUAAAAUCAAUCAGAUAUUGGAUAGGAGUAUGAUAUAAAAUUUAAAAACAAUCUGAGGAAAAUAAAAUGCAAGUUUUGACGAAUGAUGGUAUCCAUAGUUUUAAAAAUAAUCCAGCAUGUAAAGCAUAUAAGAGUGUCCAAUGAUGUCAGAAAACAAAUAAUACGACUGUUGGAAAACUUAUGACACAAAAAAGAAAAAAAUCAUGAAAUUGAGGAGGAUAAAGGAUAAGAUAAAAUUAUUUCAAAACGAAAAGAAAAGAAUAUUAUGGACAAAAAAAUGGCUAGUUCUCAUCUGAACAACACUCAAACAAAUAUUACUCAAUUGUUUAAGAGAUAUUUGAUAGAUGAGACAUGUCAACAUAACCUUCGCUAGUUCUCAUCUGAAUUAUUUUCAAAUGGUAUACUAUAUUCCUAUCCCAUAUCUGAUUGAUUUUUAUUUGUAUUUUUUCUCUUAAAACCAAACAUUUUGACAAAGCAAUCAAAGAUAAGGGACAUACAACUUAAGAUUUUUUUUGAUAUAAGAAAUCUAAUAAUUAAUAAUUAAUAAUUAAUUGUAAAGUAAGCAGUUUUCAUUCAAACAAUAUGCAGUUCAGAAAAAGAUUUUAAGAAGAUAUAAUUUUGUUUAUAAAAAUACACUUGGAUUGCUAACAAUGAAUCAUGAGCUGAGGUACAAGAAAGACCACAAGAUAAGUACAUGAAAGAGCACUACAGUAGACUUUUAAAUUGAUCAUCUCAUGCAACAAAGGAAAAGAUAAACAUGCCACUAGAGCACUAUAUUAAACUUUACGUUGGCUAUCUAAUGAAACAAAGGGAAGAACAAAAUAGUAGAAGGGAAAAGAGGAGACAUGGGAGGAAGGCGAACGACUAUACAUGAGAGGAGAUGGGAGGAGAAGGGAGGAGAAGAAAGGAGAGAAGGGAAGAAAGGGAAGGAGAGCGGAGGGAGAGGAGAGAUGAAAACAAUACCUAUGGACUGUGGGAGAGGAAGUGAUGGACAGCGGCACCUCAAACAGCCAACAAGGUUGGCAGCAGCACGAGACCCUCUUGUGGCUAACAGCAACAACGACCAAUUAGGGUCUUGUCUCAUCACUCAUAUGUCACCCACAGCCUCGCACAUCACCUCAUCUUUGAGCAUUUGUUUUUUACUUUUAUAUAAAGCCCAUCGAGUUGAAUCGAUAAACUCAAUUCAACUCAUCCAAGUUGAUCGAUCUUUCCAAGUCAACUUGUGAGUUGGGCUGAUUCCAACACUCUAAAAUUUCAGCAACUGGCCAGACUCGACAUGCCUGACAUGGGCUGCUGUAAGAUCAAACGAUUUUGUGGCCCAGAUCAAGAUCACAAGGUUCACAACCUUGCCAGGUCACCUAAAUAACAUAGGAACAACCUUAUCUUGGAACCUAGAUUUGCCUCCAUAAAACUAAUGGUUGUGUUGAAAAAGAAUGGAUGUAUGACAUGAUUAAUUUUAAUAUCAAGAAAAAGCAGAUUUUACAAGUUAUAAGUUCAAUGUUUAAACAUCUAAUGGAUAUUACUUUACACAUAUAACACACAUAUUAUGCUAGGAAAAGCAAAAACUUAUUAACAAAUUUAGUAAAAAAAAUUGAAGACAAGAAUAUUGUUAGCCUGUGAAACUCUCAUCAAAGAAUACUGUAAUUUUGGCAUGAUAUUCAUGGCUUGUUGAUAAAAAUAUUGUUUACCUGAGUAAAUAGGUCUGCCAAACAUGUUAGAAGGUUUUCUUCAACAUCGCCCAGAUUCUUGUUAUUUGCAUAAUAGUCCAGUAACUGCUCCCGGAAAGGAAUACAAAAAUAUAGAGCCUGCAUAUGGGAUAAUUAAGAAGCAAAAAAUAAAUUAUAGUUAAAACAAAAAGAACAAAAAUAAUACAUAUUUAAUUUAGGCACUGCAUAAAACAAAACAAACAUUUUCAUCCAACAAAGUUCAUUUCAGUAAAACUCAUGCCCAAAUUCUUCAAACCAAAUGUAAAGCAUGAUGUGAUGAUGGUAAAAAUAGCUAUGCUAGAAGUGAACUUUGACAAAAUUUAGAAGGAAAUGUUGAAGGGAGAAAAUUCUUUACCAAAUAAAACAUUUAUCUUUUAAAGUAACAUAUCAAUCUCUUAUCUUUUAAAGUAACAUAUCAAUCUUCUUUUAUGUUAAGCUGAAAUGACCACUUUGUAUUAAUGUCAUCUAUGAACAUCCAAAAAGUCAAAAUAAUUGAAGAAAUUUCGCUUUUUACGUAGCCCAAUGGUAGCAAAAGAUCGACAUAGCCAACCCCAAAUAUAUUGGUGGUGGCGUACAAAUUGUUAGUGCCUAAAACUAGAAAUGAAGGAGAAAACUUUCACCAUAGUCAUCCAGGAAUCCUGAGUUAUUUAGCUAUCAAUCAAUUAAUUUAUUAAGAAGAGUAAAGAUGAAACUUUAGAGUCUAUGUUCUCGAGAUAAAAUAUAUUCACUAGCUAUGAAACAGGAUGUCAAAAAAAGUUCGUAAAACAGAGAUGAGAAUGCUAACAAGUGUAUCAAAUUUUACUGAAAAUAAAUCGAAUAACUGCAAUUGCAAAAUAAUUUAGGUAUAGUACUAAUAAAGCAUAAUAUACUACAAAACCAUCAAAGGAGCCAAUACUAAUAAAAAACAUCUUGAUAUACCUCCAGCAAGGAAAGGUGAGCAACAUAAAAUAAUGCUCUAAGAAAGGAAAAGAAAGAUCAAUUAAUGAAAAACAAUAAGAAUAACUAUUAUAAUCCUAAGUUCAACAUCUAAGUACAACUAAAGAGGAUCCAUAUAUCUUAUCCUGGAUGUUUGGAGCUAUGGAUUUUUUAUGAUAAUAUACCAUUGUGUCCCAAGCUUUAUCACCAUUUUUACUAAUAUAAGGUAAAUAUCAAAGUGCAUUUUUGCAGCUGACCACAGAUCACCUUUACUAGCUCUCUCAAGUCUCAUCCUUAUCUAAAUAAUCACUUUGGCACCAAAACUUAGAAGGUGAGGUCCUUUGGACCUUACACUUAGCCAAUCUCAGUCUGAUUGUGAAAUGUGAUACCACUAGAUUCUACUAAAUCUUUCUUUCCUGAAAUAAAAGUCACAUCUCAGAUUUUAAAAAAAUAAAUCAUCAUUUCAUUAUUCAUAAUUUAUAGAAAACUCUUCUUUUAUCUUUGAAUUCAAAUCCCUAUCUUUCCAAUACUAAAUAUUUUUUAAUUGAAAAAAGAACUGCAUCUUCUAAGUAGGGCCAUAAGUGAUAAAAAAAUCUCCUUCACCCAAGGAUCAGAUCUAUUACAAAAUAAUAGGUUACUCUAAAAACAAAUAUAGGAUAAAAAUACAUCAGCAACCACACAUACUGGUAAGAACUCCGAAAAAUCAUAAAAAUAAUCUUCAAUACUCGUGAAACAUCUAAUUCAAUCAACUAAUAAGCUCAAACCAAUAAAGGAUGAGGAAAUUGGAUUAUGUCGCAUAGUGCUAGCCUAGAUCGAACCAACCCACCUAAGCAUUAGACGGGUCACGUGCGUCGCACAUGCUUAUCCCAGGUAAUAGGUUGGGUUGAGGUACAACGAGUUAGAUAGAGGGGCGAUAAAAUAUCUAUUGUCGGUCGCAUAGCUAAGCAGGCCUAACUUCUAAACUUCACUCAUGGGUUAGGCUGAGCCUUGCCGCUAAAUCGGGCCAUGCUUGGCUCGUGGGUUGGGUUAUACCUAACCACAUGGAUUGGGUUAUAAUACUUGACCACAUGGACUGAGCCAUGCUUAGCCACAUGAGCUUAGUCAUGCUUGGUCAUAUGGGUUGCGUCAUGCCUGACUACAUGAGCUAGGUCAUGUCUGGUCAUAUGGGUUGAAUUAUACCUGACCACAUAGGCUGGGUGAUGUCAAGCCACAUGGUUUAGAUCGUACGUGGCCAUAAGGGUUGGGUCGUGUCUACUCACAUGGGCAGGAUCAUACCUGGUCACAUGAGCUAAGACAUGUUGGGCCACAUGGGCUAUGUCGUACUUGGCCAUAUGGGCUGAUUUUGACCAAUCAACUUAACUUAGGUUAGAUCCCAAUUUGACAUCUUUUAUUAAAUUAGAUUUAAUAUUCUUAGAAGUACUUUAAAAUAUUAUAAAAUAAGAAUUAACCUCAUAUCUAUUCUUUUUCAUGAAAUAACUAAUUUAAAUUCAUGAUUCCAAAUUUAAAACUAAUUAAAUCAUAGAAAUUUAUACAUAAUUCCUUGAAACAUAAAUAUAUCUAAUUAAAUAAAUUAGAACUAUUAUCAAUAUUAAAUUAACUACUUAUCAGAAAUAUGUCUAACCAUUAUCAAGUCAAGUGUUGUAGCUAUUCUCAUGCAGGACCAUUGUAUUUUACUUUUCCCUUGAAUAAUGUUUCUUAUUUUAGGGUGUCAUGAGUUGCAAAAUGGCAAUAUCUUUGAUGAUUACACAUUAUCUAUCAAGAUUGCCAAGUAAAGAAAAAAAGAAGUCAGACAAAAAAGGAAGGAUAUAAAUCUUAGACUUGAUGAACGAUAAGAUCUUAGAAAACCUACAAAAAUGUUAUUAUAGUGAAGAACCAAUAAAGAAAAGAGACUAUCAAAAAAAAUAUUUUAUUAAGAAAUAUUAUUUGUCAAAACAAAUAUGGAAAACUAUGUUCUUGGGAGAAGAAAGAUAAAAUGAUUAAUAUAUCACGAUUUGUGGGAUGUAACUCCUUUUAUUGUGUUCUUCCUUAAUUUUGUAAUUAUUUUUUUAUAUACUUCAAAACUAAGAAAAGGGGAAAAUAAAUUGUGCUUCGAAACAUCGAUUUGUGAAUGAAAGAAUAGCUUUCUUUUCCCCCACCCUAUAUUUAUGUAUAGGUCACAAUCUUUCCAUCAUCCAUGUCUAAGAUGAGUGGAGAUAUUAAACAUUCAUCCUAAAGAGUUGAUCCUUUAGUCAAAGUGAGUAUGGUAAUUAUUUUUUUCUUUUCUAUUAUCUCUUUUAUUUUUCAUCAUUAUCUUUCAUGAUUAUAAUGUUUUGCUUCUUCUCUCUUUCUCUUCCUUUAUUCUCAAAUAGAAAAUCUCUGCUCCUUAUGAACUUGUCCAAUAUCAUAUUCCUUUCAUCUGAUGUCUAUGCAUUUGCACUCAAGGUUUUUCAUCCUUUGAUAAAGUCAAUUCUGAGUUGAUGAUCAGACAACAAAACCUACACCUUGGUUUCUGUGCAAUCACAAGAAGGGCACAAAACAAAAAAGAAACAACAACAAAUGUCACAAUACAGAUUUAUGGUCCUAUCAGAUUCCUAGGGACUGCUAUAAUAAGAAAAAAAAUUGAACCCCUAACCAAUUUUGUUGGAGACCAUCUCAAUCUCUAUCUUACUAGUAUAGAUGUUCUUUUUAGAGAUUGUCAAUUAAAUUAUGGAUGAUCUCCUAACAAACAUGAAAAAAUAAUUUCUUAUACCAUUCAAGAAUAAGAUCAUGUAAUAAAGAAUGGGUUGAAGAUAGUAUGAGAGCACUACUAUCCUUACGAACAAAAUGGCAGUGACACUAACAAGCAAACCAUAAUUGAUAAGGAACUACUUAUACUUAUUAUAAUGGUCUAUUGCAUUUGAAAUAUUGUCCAAAUACUAUAGUUAAUUGAACAAUAGCACAUUAAUGAUCAAGAUUUGUAUCCCAAAGAUCCCAAUGUUUCAGCCAAUGGUCAGGCAGCUCUUCAAAUAUACCGAACACUAAAGAAGUAUCAUCAGUGUUUAGAAAGCCUAGUUAUUACUAUCAGUGACAAUUGAAGGGCUUCAUUAUACACGCACCAAAAGGAAAGACAAAAAUAAAGAUUAAAUAAUCUAGUUUGUCUAUAGUAAACGCAAAGAUAAAGCAGAACUAUAAUGGGAAAAUGAGACAGUAAUUAGAUUGAGACGUGUUCAGCUGACACAUAGUAUGGACUAUGGAGAAAAAAAGGUCAUCUAUGAUAAUUGUCAUGUAAAUUAAGUCAAAAAGCAUCACGAGAUGCACAUAUAGAAGAAAAGAUUGAUGAAACUGAUGACAUUGAACAUGAUGAUGAUUCUGAUGACAACGGAUGAUGAAGUUCUGUUAGAUAAUUAAACCAGUAUAUAACAACUUUUUCCUUCUUCAUCCUACCUCUCUCCCCUCCCAACCCCUUCCUUUUCCUUUUCUUUGGCUUCCUUCGUCCUCUUUUCUUUCUUCUCCUUCCUCUUUUUCCUCUUCCUUCUUCCUUCCGUCCUCUCCCUCCCCUAAUGGUUCAUGGUACAUUCCAGUGUACCAACACAUGGUAUGCAGGAACAAACCUGACCUGUACUAGUCCAGUCACGGACUACUGGCACAGGUCCGAUAACCAAAACUGCAAACCUUGCAUAUUCCCGAACAUAUUGCAAAUCAUACAUCCCAACUAUUUGGGUCAAUCAUGGAGAAAAAAGGGUCAAACAUAUGGAUCUUUCCACCAUGUAACUUUGCUGAGGUCCUAAGGUUAAUAUCACUAGCCAAUUUAAAAGCCAUUAAUCCAUCAAUCAUGGAGAAAAAAGGGUCAAACAUAUGGAUCUUACAAGCUCCUCUCUCUCUACUCUGCACCAGUCAUCAUUAAUCCAAAUUAUCUCACUUCUAAGGUCCCUCAAUGGACGUCUCCGAACAAACCUUAGACAAAUUUUACUCAUUUUAUCAUCAAUCUAAAUACUCUUAAUUGUUCACAAAAAUGCAAAUUUUGUAGUUUAUCUUUAUAGUAACCACCACGCAACGAAGUGGACACCUCAUCUAAAUAGGAUUAACUUUUAGGUAUGUUGUUUUCUUACUGCCCAAAAUUUUGAACUCAAAUAAACAGGGCUGGCAAAUACUAUUCAUUUCUUAAGGACACCAUCAUUCAAUUCAUUCCUUUCACACAGGUUUUGACAAUACAUGUUUUAUAUGCAGAACGACCCAGUGAAAUAAAUUGAAUAUUUGAGGAGUUCAGCAUCAUUAUAUGAGCAUUAAGCCAUCAAGGAAAGGAAUAUCAGCAUAACUUUUAUAGAAGGCUAUGAUAUAGACACCAAAGGAGCAUGGUUGCAAUCGGCAAUCCAAUGUUUCAACAAGCAUAAAUCAACAUUGUACAUCCAAGAUCAUUGGUAUAUUCUUAUCUCUUACCAAAAAACACAAAAGACUCCUAGUUUAAAAACAACUCCUGCAUCCAUGUCAAGAUGAACUUCUUUAAGGGGAAAAAAAUGCAAAACUAUAAACCCAUACUACAGAUGAGUACAUUUGAACUUAAGCUGCAAUUUAUAAUAAAAAAAAAUUAGAAGCCAAAUACAUUCAAAAGAACAAGGAUAAGAAAAUAACUGUCUAAAAGAUGAAGAUGUUGCACUAGGUCAACUAUAGAUCUCAAAAAUAGAUCAUGAUUAAGGUUGUUAUGAAGAUCUGAAAAUAAAGUGCAGAGUCGAAAGUGAACAUCCUUUACAAGCUCAUUUCUUAGCAAAAUUUCAUAGGCUUACCACCACAAAGGUACAAUGUAUAACCCCAUCAUAAAGCCAAAAUUCCAUUUUACCAUCAUAAUCUCUCACUUCCAAGAAAAUUUGGAACUUCUGAUUAACUAGCUAGAAAAUGAGCAUCAUAAGACAUUAGAAGAAAUUAAGUACAAUAUACUCCAGAAUUUAUUACAAUAUCCUUCCUAGACAAUUAAAGAGAUCUAUGUACUUCAACUAAAUUUUUGUUAUGUUACCCACAUUUUCUAUAUAUCAUAUUCAUCAGACUAAUGAACUUUAACCACGUGUAAGAUAAACAGUUUAAUCAGGUCCUGGUUAUAUCUGAUGAUUUAUCAAGAGGAAUGAUGAUGACUUUCUAGUAUUUUUCCUGCAUAUCAACAGGUUUGCACUGUCGGAGGACAAAUGACAAACAAACACUGACACAUUUUUUUCUUUGUUAAAAGAACUGUUCAAAGUUUAAAAGCCAAAAAUGAUACUUGUGCACUAAGUUUCUUUCUUGUUUAUCAAGACAUUCCCACCUUUUUCUCAAAAAAAUACAAAAUGGUAAAUUAAAUGAGACUGCGACUAAUAGAUUUAGAAACACAAAAGUGUCUUAAAAAUAACCAACAUAUUUAAGUCGCUUACUUCAGACCAAAGCUAUGUUCUUAAACAUUAUACGGUGUAAGAAAUGAGCUAGAAAAGAGGAAAUACAGAUCAUCUUUUUUUUCAACCGAGAGUACUUAUAUAACAAUAUGGAUGCACCCUAUAUCAGUGUUGACAAAUGAAAACAUCUUCCAUAUCAGACAAGAACAUUGAAUUAAUAAUCAUAACAAUAAGAUCCGGUAAGAAGAAAAGAAACAAACCUCCCUUAAAAGAAUUCAUCUCUAAUUCGACAGAACUACAAGUUACCCAGAUUCAGAUCGAGCUCUUGGUUCAAUAAACAAAGAAGACGUAGAGGCAAUAACCUGCAAGACGCUGUUGCAGUAGCAGGUGUUGCCGAAGUUCUCAAGGCCGAAGUAGCGCUCGCCUUCAGGGAACUGGUCGCCGAGGGCCUUCUCAAGCUUGGAGCCGGCGGCCCCCAUGACUGUCCACUUGUCCCACCAGCCGCCGGCGACCCCGGUGAGGUACCGGAACCCUAGACCAAGACCGGAACGCGACCUCUCCGGCCCCCUCUCGGCCGCCGUUCCGCUCGCCUCCGUUGACGAAGGGGUCUCCACGGUGAGAGAUCACGAGUAGGCUCGAGCUUCUAGGGUUUGAGGCACGGUCCCUGAUGACGAGGGCGAAGCGAAUUCCCGCGGCUCCCGUUCGUUCGGCGUACGGGCGAGAGAGUGUAGGAGAAGAAAUGAUCGAGGGUGGAAUAGCGAAAGAAAGAAGGUUAAAACAGUGAUCGAUCGAUCUGAACGUUUUCUUUAUUUUUGUUUUCCUUUUUCUUUUUGAUGUUGUUUCGUCGUCAUAUUUUUGUUCGAGAGGAAGACUCUUCCUGUCUUCUCGUCGUUGACUCGCCUACCGGCUUUCUCAUUGGAUGCCUCAGGGAGAACCCAUACAUGUGACCCUAUUAGCGAUAAGGUGUGCCGUGGGGUACGUACGAAACCGGAUGUUUUCAUUUAUUUGCGCACUCCACACGUGCAUACCGUUUACUUCAUAUAUUCCCGUCUAAACAUGCGAGAAAGCACGGCUGGAUUUCUAUUUUUCGGUGUGUAAGACGAAACUAAUGAACUAUUCUGCGGUUAGACAUGCUAUUAAACAUGAGUCGAUUUAUCAUAAAAUCCAAUGUAAUUUUCCUGACACUAUAAUCAAAUACAAUCCGAAUUAUCUUAGUGUUCUUCUCGUAUAUCAUUUCAGAAAACAUGGGAUCAAAGCUUCCCAGUUAUCAUUUUCCACUAUUUACGAGUCACGCAUCAAACCAGAUAUAAAUAAUCCUUCUAUUUUAUUGGUAUACUGCCAACUAAAAGUGUUUAUUAUUUAUAAUUUUAAUAGAUAUUUAAAAGAUUAUUAUUUUAUGCCCUGUCCUAAUUUAAUUAGAUUUUUAAGUGAAAGAAAUUUAUGUCAUAACUCGUUAUCCAAAUGGGAAACAAAAUAAUAGGGCAGAAAUUUGAGUUACAACUUGUGCUAUCUCGAAUUGAAGCAAUAACAUAAUUGAGUUUAUAACAUAAAAAAGAUUGACUAAUGUACUUAGGAUCAUUAACCAAAUUAAUAAGAUACUAGAGAUGUAAUGGCACUGUUGAAAUUUGAAGCGGGAGAUGAACAUAAAACUGAUAAGUAGAUGAGAUUUCCUCAAACAGUUAGGAGAAAGCUACCACUUGCAUAAUUGGAUCACGAAUCUACUCCACUGUUGCUACCACUGCAGAACUCAAUUGGAUCACGAAUCUACUCUAGGAACUCAACAUCGAUACCUAUCCCACUUUGUACGCGAUCAAGUUGUCCGCCGUCAACUUCGUGUUUCUCAUGUUCAUACGGUUGAUCAAUUGGCCGACUUAUUUAUGAAGCCUCUCGUAAACUUUUUGCAUUACAUCUGUCCAAGAUUGGUGAUCGAAGUACCAUCUUGCGGGGCGUGAUAAGUAGAUGAGAUUUCCCUAACUGUUUGAGGAAAUCUCUUACUCUGUCGAGGGAAAUCAUCUAACCUGUUGAGGAAAAUUCUCCCUUCUAACCUGUAUAAAAGGAAGGGGAUAUGUUAAUAACAAUCAACUUCUUCUACAACUUAUUUAUCUAUUUAUUUUCUAACAAAGACAAGACAAAGCAAUAAAAAAGAAAAAGGUUUCUUUCCACUCCUAUUCUCUACGUUGCAACAAGAUAUUAUAUAAGUCUUUAUAUAUAAGAGAAUUGACAGUUUCUAAUAUUCAGAAAUUACUACAUUUGAGCAUUAUGGAUAAAGGAGGAAACAAUUUUUUGUGUUGCACGGAAAGAAUCCCAGUAUUUAUUUUGUGCUGCAUAGAAAGAAUUCCAAUUACUAAUGAUUUUCUUAUAUUUCUGUUAUGUAAUAUAAUUCAAAACUCAUCAAUUGAUUUAUUUAGUUGCCUUCCUCCUUUUAUCUCAUUGCCAUGGUUAAGCUGAUUUGGCUUUGGCCUUCCAUUUAUCAUAAAAUUGUUAGUAUCAAAUAAAAAAAUACAUGCAUUAUCAUUUAUAAGUUGACUAAUAUAAAUUAUUAUUUUUUAGUUUGGGAACGACGAGAAUAUUUCUUAAUUUCAAAUUACCAUAAGAAGUUUUUAAGAAAGCAUCACUUAAAUCAUACCCAAUCAUAAUAAUAGGUCAUAAACAUGUUUUACUUUUUUUUAAUUUUUUUUUUAAAAUAUUAUAUUUUUUUAAACAAAAUAAAAAAUAUUAAUUAUUUAGAUCGACUUAAUGGAAGUUGACACAAUAACACUCGAAAUUAAAAUAAGUUAAUUAGAUCAGAAAAUAUAUCUAAAAAUAUAUUUAAAUUUAAAUUACUUUAUGAAUUUUUUGGGUAUUAUUUGUAAAAAUGAAUAGGGAGUGCUAUGAAGUGGUCUGAUGGUAUAUUUCUACCAAAUCAUAUAGAUUUGCGGCUUUUCCUGGUAAAAUAUUUGGGCCAAAUGGAACGAAUACGUAUACAUAAACGUUCACUCGUUACAGCUAUUUAAAUAUAUGGGCCAAAUCGGAUCGACUGAGCCAACCUACUCAUCGAUACCCCAUGGCAGAGACGUCCAAGAAGCGACCGCUUCCCCCAGACGAAUUCGACUCGCCGCCGCCGGAGUACGCUCCUCCCUUCCUUUUUCUAUCCCAAACCUCUCCUCCUUCUUGUGCGAACUUUAGGGUUCCUUGAUUGAUUCCGAUGUGGGGGCGAUGGCAGGCAGAGGCGGGCUAGGUUUCCUAAGGGUAAGAAAGCGAAGAGGGGCAGCGAAGACCUCCCCUUCCAUGGGGACGGCGGAGACGGCAACUGGAUGGACCCACAGCUCGCUGCCAAGGAGCGCGCCAAGCGUCGCAACCAGACGCGGGAGAACGAGGUCUUAGGUGACCAGGUGGACGUCUUCUCCGGCGAAAUCCAGUACGAGGUGCUUCUACCUUCCCUCGUCACUUAAAUCUAUGAAAUAAAAGCUGUACAAGUGUAGUGGUUUUUGGUAAAAAUAUGUUUCCUCUCAUAUCUGAUACAUGUUUCAGGAAAGACCAUGUGUUUGUAGUGCAGCCUUUUUCAUCACGUUUAUGGAAAUUAGGCUGUCUGAAAAUGUGUCUUGUUGUUUCCUGUCAAUCUGUAGGAUCGGGGAGAGGUAUGGAUAUCGAUUGCCGUCAUUUUUUAUGAGGAUGAUGCUUUCAUCACAUUUAGUAUUUUUGCUAGUAAGUUCAUUUUGUGGAGGGGGAUACUAAGUAUUAUUAUACACUUGGGCUGCGAAGGAUGGGUUUUUUGUGGGUCUUAAUGGUGCCUUUAAAUUGGUUCAGGGUUCGAUUAAUCAGGGUUAGUUAUGAUAAUUUAACUUUGGUUGCUAGAGGAUGACCUUUUUGGUUAGCAAGUAGAAUUAGAGAUUAUUUUAGACCACCAUUUAUAUGAGUUAUUUUUAUUCCGAAUUGUUAGGGUUCAACUUCUUUAAUUGUGUCAAUCUAAUCACCUCAACUUUGAGCUUUUGACUUUUCAAAACAAAAACAAUCAACUUUACUUUUAUGUUUUUAUUGAUAUAGACGGUUUGCUAGUCAGUCAAAAAAAAUGUUCCUGAUGUCUAUUUACAUUUCAUACCAAGUACUUGACUUGUAUGACUAUAAUAUUGAACAAAAAUGGCUAUGCUUGGGAUGCUUAAAAACGGUGCAAGUGAAUCGAUAUGUUCUCUUCCUUUGGUUUGGAGCGUUCAUAAUCAUAAGUUUUGUUUUUAACCAAUGGAAUAGUAUGUCGGCAUGCAUCAUAGUACCAAGAGGGGAGGGGCGAGGAGAAGAAGACGGGCAAGAGGAGGUAGAGAUGGAGAAGGAGAAGAGGAGGAGGGAGGAGUACCAGAUGGGGGCAGGGUGUGGCUGGCAGUGCGAUGGUGGGUGGGCAAUGACAUGCUUCUGCACUUCUGCUUUGUCCACCCACAAUGUCUAUUCAAGAGUAUUCAGAAUUCUAGCCGAACUCAAUAUGGAAAGCCUUUUGUAUUAGUUAAUACUUGAUACACACCUCGUUGAAGAUACAUUGGGUAAAACUUGUUGUUUUGAUAUACACUUGUAUUUCAUUACUUUUCCAAAAAUUCUCAACUAAGAAUUUCACUUGUUAUGUGCUGGCUAAUAUGUUUUGUUUCCUUAAGAUGUUAGCACCAGAUACUCAAACUACCAUUGUUUUAUUUUGUCUGUAUUUCUGGGUCACAUUAUCUUCAGCAUUUUUCUCAGAAUGAAAGCAUUUGAGACUAUUGCUUGGGUCUACUAUGAUCUGUUUAAUUUUCUCACUUUAUUGUCAUUUUUCAUCAUAUAUGUAAUUAUGAAUAUUCUUUUAUUACUCAUCAACGUUAUAUGACAGUAUCACUGCUAAUUUUAUACAUAGACAACUAAUAGCUAAUGGUGAUUAUGUAGCAGGAUAAUGUCAACUUUGAGGAUGAUGGGAUUCAAAUAGAACCAUUUAAUUUGAAGCAAGAGAGAGAAGAAGGUUACUUUGAUGCAAAUGGAAAUUUUGUUGAAUACACUAGACAAAAUGAAAUUAAGGUGUUCCCCCUGCUUUUCCUCUUUGUCCUUUUCUUCCCUUUCCAUCUAUUCUUUCCCAUCCUUUCUCUUCUUCUCCCUUCUUUCUCCCACCACUUCUAUUAUCACACACACUCGCGCGCACGCGUGUAGAUACACAUAUAUAUGUAUGUAUAUAUAUGUAUAGUCGUGCAAUGUGAGAUGUACACUUGACAUUUAUUUCCGGUCGAUCCAGGAUGCAUGGCUAGAUAAUGUUGAAGUUGAUACAAGAUUUGUGGGAAAGUUUCAGCCAAAAAGUACUGCAGAGGAGGUAUAUGAGGAUCUUUCUUCAGAUGAUAUAGGGAAAAUAAAAAGAAGAAUAGCUGAUGCACUUCAGCCAGGAGAAACGGUAACUUCAAGACUUAUGAAUUAUUAUUUUUGUUGACUUUAUUCUUUUGCAGUUUAUUAUGAUGAAUGAUUGCUGAAAACGUCUAGUGCUUGUCUUAUCAAGUCUUAAUUUGUAUUCAACUUGCUUAUUGGAUUUGUCUCGGUUGAACUCUUUCGGUACCAAAAUACAGAAGCAAUGAACUGAUUUCGUGAGGCUUUUGAUAUUGGCUUUGUAAUAGUUGUUACAACUGGAUAGGGAGUCUGAAAACAGAAAUGUCUUUCAAUCUAUUGGUGUAACUUUGUUAGUUGUUAUCUUGAUCAAUGCAUAUCUGACUUGCUAGUUGUCCUGUGGAAUCUAAGAUUCACUUAUGAUCAUAUUUUAAGGUUUUAGUUAUGUAGGUUCUCUGUCCCCAUUUACCUUUAAGAACCCCUUUUAUAUAGAAUCCAUGUGGUUGCUUCUGUAUACAAUUACAUGUUACCUUGAAUAAAUAGUAAUUCUUCAGUACUUGCCCUCAUAUAUUAUUUAAUCUUAGACCCCCCAACUUGUGUCAAUAAUCAAUAUGCAGCUGGUAUUUCAGGAGUAAAUUUAGCUGAUUAAACUAGGUAGUCGACUGAUUAUACACUUAUUUUUCCUUCAUCUAGGUACCUAAAAUAAUACUACUGUUGAUGAUUACUAAUUACUGUGGACAAUUCAGAAUAGACUCAAGGUAUUAUGGCAUAGUUCCUUUCCAGUAUGACACAUAGGGAGAAAUCAUGUUGUCUAUAGGCCACACACAUCCUAAUGGCACCAAUUAGAUCAUGACACUUGCUAGCUUGUUAAAAAUCAAAUGUGGUUGUGCGCUCCACAUGGUGAAGUUAAUCCAGUCAUGCCCCAAUCCACACUUGGUUCACUUGAGAAUUACGCUUGUUGAUGUGGAGGUGUCUGGUGGUCUAGUGAGUGGCUCGGGUAUCUGAUCUGCUAAAACUUAUUGUUGGGGGCAUAUACACAACAGUCAAGUUUGUUGGCUAUCUGAGAUUGGAAGUAGAAUAAAUGUGUGUUUAUUUCUUUGAAUUUCACAGAGAGAGCCUCGCAUACCUGAGAGCCCCUAUUUAUGGAGAGCCCUAAAUGUAUGUGGAAGCAUUGUCCAAACCAAAUCCAUUAAGUUAGAACAGGAAACCGGGUCUCUAGGGUUUUAAUGAUGAUGCGGCUGAUGGCAUAGAUGUUGAUCAGGUGCUGAUGAGGAGGGAGAUGUGGAUGUUGAUCGGGUUGGCUCUCCACGUCAUAUUACCUACUAUCAUUUGCCCCCAUUGCACUCCAAGGAGCAAAGUGUGUCAGAGUGCACUGUACACUUCAAGGAUUGAGUUGAUGUGACAUACCAACAUGGCCGUAUCAAAGAUAGAUGACUCUUCAUGGUUUGACUUGACCAAACUGAAAGGUUGGUGAUUUUUUUAUAGUCCAAGAUAGCCGCAUCGAAAGUUGAUGACGCUUCAUGGCCCAACAUGGCAGCAUCGGGAGUUGAGGAUGCUUUGUGGCUUGACAUCAUCGUGUUGAAAGUUGAUGACGUUUGCCCAAUAUUGGGAGUUGAGGAUGCUUUGUGGCUUGACAAGGUCACGAUGAAAGUUGAUGAUGCUUCGUCACCCAAGAUGGCCACGUCGAGAGUCGAGGAUGCCUUAUGGACCAGCAUGUCCACAUGUCGGGACAGUUCAGAAUAGAUGCAAGGUAUUAUGGCAUGGCUCUUUCCACUACAUAUAGGGACAAAGCAUGCUGUCCGUAGGCCAGGCACAUAUCCUAAUGGCACCAAUUAGAUCUUGACACUUGCUAGCAAACAUGACAGAUCUGACAUGCCAGUCCUUUGAUCCAUCUCAAAUUUGAUGCUGCAAACAGUUUCUUAGACAAACUAGUAACAACAUGAUUUCUGUGAACAUUCUUAUUCAACUUCUUCUGUGGCAUUCUUAUCUGCAAUUAAAUAUCUGACUUUUGCUGUUUCACAAUUGUUUCAUGAGGUUCUAAUGUGGAUGAGAAAGCAUUUGAGUUCUGUUUAGAUCACAAAAAUAAAAAAGGAAUCUAACCGCUUAAUUAAUUAUUUAUAUACUGAAAUACUUCCAUCGAACAGUGGCCUUCAAGCAGAGAGAUAAUACUAGGAUAUUUGCAGUUUUAUUACGUUACUGAGUCUGAUGCUUUUCUAAUUUUUGCCGUCUUCUAUUUCAGAUAAUACAAGCUUUGAAAAGGUUGAAAGGAACUUCCACCGACAAGAAAGCAAAGAUGUUGGAUGCCACAAAACAGAUAUUUGAUCAACUCACUGAAGAUGCCAUGAAACUCAUGGAGAAUGGAGAUUACAGUUGAGUGUAAUUACAUGUCAUCAAACUAUAUAUUUAUAUAAUUAUUGGUUGGUUGAAGAAGGAUUGCCAUCUUGUAUCAUGGGGUUAUGCUGAUCAUUUUCUGGCCCGUCAUGCCAAUUGGCACGCCUCCUGUUCUGUUUGAGACAGACCAUUGCGUGCCCCCUGUUGUGUUUGAUACAGACCAAAAGUUGGCUGGUCAUUUGACCUGUGUUGAUAUGUUCUGAUUGGAACGGUAAUCCUUGAGUCACACUGUAGUAGGUUAUCCUCAUUAUGCACUAAGGUGUUUGCUCUUUGAUGAGGUGGGAUCUUUUUUUUUUCUUUUCAAGUGGUCUUAAUGCAUGUUUCCUAUUAAGGAAGCAAACUAGAUAAGCUAGGUCAUUUACAACCACUUGAGGUUAUUGUGCUGUUGUUGUGCUCUAACAUCUCUAUUUUCUCUUGAAGAGUUUCCUGAUUGGAAGGCUCAAAUGCUUUUGAUAAGAUGGUGAAAUGAUUUGCCCAGUUGUUCAAUACUUCAAUAUAACUAACUUUUUUUCCUUUGUUUGGUUUCCAGAUGUUUACUAUGAAGAACAGGAGACCUUUGCGCGGGAAGCAGGUGGAUGUGUCGUUUCUUCUAAUUUUUUUGAGAAGUAUACACUUAAUUAUUUACAGAUAAAUACAUAGAGUAACCUGUAGACCAUAAUAGCAAGUCGGACUUUCCUAUAUAUCCGACAGGCAUAAAUAUGCUUCUUGAGACCUCUCUUUUGUUUGUGUCUGUUUUUAUGUCAAUUUUUGGUGCUCAAGUUUAUUCUUCUGCUCUUGAUGUACUGUUAAUACCUUAUUUCAAAAUCUGUACUUAUCAUAAUGAUUUUUUUGCUUUUGUUGCUUGUUAUGUUCAAAGAUGGUGAGUAGUUUCAAUCAUAUUGAUGCUUAUCUUUCAGUUUGCAACAGUAUUUCUGAUUAGCAACCUUCGCUAUCCAAGUACAGGAGUGAUGUAGCAUUUAUCUGCUAUAUGUCUGUCUUUGGCGAUGAUAAUUUAUUGUAGCUACUGAGUACUGACGAACUUGAAAUUGCAUAGGCUUUCAUUCUUCUGCUUCCCAGAAGAUUUAUACGAUCGUUCUGUUUACUGAAUCCUUUUUCUGCAUUUUAAAACCAUACCUUGAGCGGCCUUUCUCUAUCAUAUAUAUGAGCAGGUGUUUUGGUAACUUGAAUAUUAUGUAUGGGAUAUAUCUACUGUUAGCAACUUUAUAUGCAAUCUUAAGAAGUAAAAGAGAGUACAGGCCAUAAAAACCUACAGAACUUUAUAUGUUAUCCUUUUUUUUAAAACUCAUUCUUGAGUCUGAGACUAUUUUUUCUGUCACAGUAUUAGAAUGGAGUGACUUUUCUGAUAGAAGUUUGUUGCUCACAAAUUAUGACUCAUCUUUCACUUUCAUAGACUUUAGUUUUAUGCUUCAUUUUUCUCCUCCUAUCGUGUACCACAGAAUAUUUUUCUCUUUGUUUCUUUGCUUUGUUAUAUUAUCUUUAUCAGUUUGGCUUAUAUCCUUUUUAUAGGUUAAACAAUCUUAUACACUAGUUGAAAGACAAACUCUAUGACUAGGACUCAACCAUUCCUUCCUCCAUAGCUCGUAUUAUGGUUUAUGAUGGCAAAUUGUCAGUUUUUUGGGCUUAAAACAUUAUCACCAUUGAACACUUCAGGUCAUUACAUGCUAUAGCUGGAGACUACUUCAAAUGAUGAGAAGAUGAAUGAAAAUCAAGCAACAUAAAACUGGUUUUUGCAUUACACUAAUAAUUUUUGAGUCACCGAGGCAAAUAUAAUGACAAGAAGAAAUCGCUUUUGAACUGGAGUCAUCUUUUCAAACUCUUUAAUGCAUGUAGAAAGAGUCUAGAUGAGUGGGGGCUUAACAUAGUUCAGUGAGUUCCAUUUUUUAUUAGCCUUAUUUACUAGGAUCGUGUCACCUAUCAUGCUCCAAAGGUAAUGUUUUUACCAUCUGUUAAUUUCUAUGGAGAAGGUAUCUUGGUUGUGAGAACUGAUCAGAAUGUGUUUCUUGUUUGUGAUAAAUGAUUCCUUAUCUGUUUCGUGUUGUUCCUCGGGGUAUGUUGAGCCUCUAAAUGGGUAACUUUCUACAAAACCUACUUUAUAUCAUAGUGGUCAUUUACACCUGAGGAAAAGAUUGAUCCACUUGAUUAUAAAAUUAUAUCGUUUUUAUGUUAAUGCAUAAUAACCUAUAUAUUUAAUGGUGCAUGCUCUGCAGUCAACUGUUGGCACCUGUUAGUCUAUCUUUUAUGUUACUUGAAUAUGGAAUUGUUGAAACAAAGAAGUUCAAUGUCAUGGCACAUUAUUAUGUCAAAAGAAGAUGGUAGGUCAAGAAGGAUUGAUCGGUUGUUAACUUAGAUGGUAGAUCAUGCUUUUUUUCUGCUAACCUGACUAAAGACCUAUGUGUGUGGUCACAUGACCAGAUCUGCACAUGUGGCCAGCUGUUCUAUGUAUGCAUGUGGUUGCAUGGCUGCACUAACUGCAUUUCGGUGUAUGAUAUUCUGCUGUGAGUGUCCAUAUGUAGAACUAUAAAGGAGUGGCUUGCUUUGCUAUGAGUAGGUGAUGUUUUGCAGCUAUAUUGUUCUUAGUUCCACUGUCUUUCCUUAGUGCUACUUUUUAUUUCUAAUAACUCCUUAAGUUGGACAUCUAAAUGUAGGAUACCAUAUUUGUUAUGUUGAACAUGGAUUUUCUUAGCAAUUAUUCAACUGAUUAUCUUUUUCAUCUUCCAUGUACUAUACUACUAUCUCAGGAAGUAAUUAUGAACUUGUAAAAUUUAAUCUAUUACAGAAGGAUAUGAGCGAUUAACUCGUGCAAAAGCUGAUACGACUGGUACAAAAGGCAUCAUUUCUGAAUCAGAUUGUGCGGAGGAUAUAUUUUCUGAUGGUAUGCAACAUGGAGAACAAAAAUCAGAGAUAUGGGACAUACAUCCUAGACCUUCGGCAGUUAAUGUCUCUGUUCAACAAGCAUCACCCGAUGAUAGUGGUGACAAAAUUGACAUGUUUGGGGAUGAAGAAAAUGCCAACGAGAAUCUACCUGUCCCCAGUGCUGAGCAGGCUGAUCAACCUACUUCAGGAAGCUUGGGUUCUUCCCAAGACCUGGGCUCUGGAGGUUUUUUUUUUUUUAAUGUGUCAAUGAAUGCCCUCCCUUAACUAGGUGGCUACGGCCUUCCAUGUAAGUGAUUUUCUUCUAAAGUUUGAUUCCCGUGCAGCUGUCAGUCAUGGAGGGGAUGGAAAUGAUUAUGUAUUUGACGAAACAUCCGGGUAAGCAGUUCAGCCAUCUUUGUUGAAAAAAUUAAGGAGUCCUAGCAUCUCAUUCUCCAGUUUUUAUUUUUUGAUGUCAAAUCAAUCUUUGACUGACUCAACGGAAAUUCUUCUGGAUAAAUUGGAUGGCAAAUAUGUAUAUUUUUUCUUAUUAAUCAAUUUAAUCUACAGGGUCAUUUCUUGUUUAUUCUUUUUCUGUGAUGUAAAAGUAGGCAUGUUAAAAUGGAGUGCUGAGGAAGGAAAAAGAAGGCAGUGUACUUUUUGCUGUUAAAUUGUGUUGUUUAAACUAAGCACAAAAUUCUUCACAGCGAAUGCUUUACUAUGUUUGUUAUUUGUUUUUGUUUGAGAAACCAUCUCCUGCACUAGGUCAUAUCUUCUAAUUUUGGUCAAAGGUUGGGAUUUUAGACCAACAAAUUUUAUUAUUGUCUUCAUUGUUUGAUCUUGUAGUGUGUAAACUAGAAUUUUGAAUCUUGAAGCACACAUCCAGUUAUUCUGUAUCUUUGGACUCGAUUUUGUUGUGUUCAUUAACUUCAUUGAAUAAUUACCUUUUACCUUAACAAUCUGAUGUUUUUUCCAGUUUGAAGUGGCUUUACUAGUAUGCCUCUAGUUUCGUCAGAUAUCUUGAUUUUGAUAAAUUCUUAUUUUGCCUGCUUCUUUGCUGUAAUAGUUAAUAACUUCCUAUUUUGCCUGCUUCCUUGCAGUUACUAUUACAGCAGCAGCUUGGGCUAUUAUUAUGAUCCUACUUCGGGAAUGUACUGCUGUGGUGCAACAGGGACAUGGUAUUUAUGCCUAAAAUUAAGUUAACACUAGUAGUCGUGAAAUACACCAUUUAUUUAGUUUUUAAUUCUUCCACACCUAUUAUCUUUUUUCUUUUCUUCUUUGUUAUUCUUAUCAUUGACCUUACCACCAUCACCACCAUUGUUGUCUCCUUGGUGACAACACAAAUAACCAUGGGACCAAGUUACCUGCGUGGAUCAUAUUUUAAUAAUAUAACAUAGAAUGAUUAACCUUUGUGGUUAAUCCAUGGUUCGCGUUAUCGGUCCGUAUCGACGUAUCGACCAACCAUCAGUAUGGUACGUUUCGAGUUAUACUGAGCUAUAUCGAACAUACCAACACAUAGUACAUAGGGACAUACUGAUGUAUCGCUCGUACCAAUCUCCUGUUGGACCAAUAUAUACCGCCCGUACUGAGCGGUACACCAUGGUACGGCAAACCUUGAGUUAAUCAAGUUUAUAAAUACUGUUAUACUGCUUUUCGGAGCGUAAGGUUAUUUUGUUCUUUGCAAUGAUUUUCAUGUAGCGAAGCAAUUCAUUGGUCAUUGUUAUAUCAGCAGAAUUGUAUGACUUUGAAUUUUUUUUCCCUUUAUUAUCCUAGUUGUUCCUAUAAUCUGUUCCAUUUAGAGUAUUUCUCAAGCUUUCUAUUAAAAAAUAGUUUUUUUUUUUGUUCAGGUACACAUUUGAUGAGCAUAGUGGCACCUACACUGAAAUUCAGAGUUCCACAACCGAGAGUUGAAGAGUCUAUAAAUGGACCAAAUGUAUAAUCUGCUCAUAAGAACUCCAAUGUUGUAAGUCUACUGAAACGACAACCAAGUGUGACAUAACUUUCUACAGCAUGCACAGACAAGAAAGAUACAUUUAGGUCAUCUGAGUUUCUGGGUGUAGCCAACCGUUCACCCCUUUUUUAAUUUAAUGGGAUAAUUUGAACCAGUUUCUUGACUUCAGUUUGCGGCUGAUCUUUAAAAGCUUCUGUAGGGACAGAAUAGUGCCAUUUCAUGGGGUCUGAUAGGUGCUUGGUUUCCUCUUAAUUUUUGCUGGGGUUGUUAAAGGUGAAUACAGAGUGAAAAUGCAGCGAGCAGCAGCAUGCAUAUAUUCCUAGUAGUUGUCUAAUUGAUCCUGCAGCCCGGCAGAUGUACCCGUUGAUGAAGCCAUUUCUGGAGCACGUUUCACCUUCCAUACGAAUAGAGGAGGUAAGACUUGAGACAUCUUCCGCCAUGAAGUCACUCUUAUAGGUUCAGAAAGCACUUGAAGAUGCUGCUUAGCUAUUAGGUUUUCAUUUUUUUCCUGUCUUGAUUGGAAGCUAUUCUUUUAAGAUGGUAAUUUGUACUUUUGUCAAAUUUGUUCACACAAAAGGCACACAUGUUUGUGAUGGUAACACAGGAGGGAAUUUUAUCCUUAUAAAUUUUAAGAUUCUUCGUGAACAUCUCUCCUGUGUUACUAUCAAUCCAAACAAUACAAGGUUACCAAUAUCAAAACAAUAUACUAAUAUAAAAUGAUUAAAUUAAUGUUCAAAGUUUGUCAGUUUAUGGAGAUUACCAAAAGUUGUAUGGGUAAGUUUUUUUUUUUUAAUGUUUUUGGGGAUAUUUAAGUUAGAUCUAAAUUUAGAGGGAUGAAUCAUAAUUAGUUUUUCCAUUAUACUUUUGCUGUGUGCUUCAAUUUCAACUUCCUUUUAUUUAUUCCUUUUUGCAAAAGAAAGAUGGAUUUUGAUUGGAGAGCAAAACAUUGGUCAUCCGUGAGAAAAUUAAUUUAACACUCUCAUUCGUCCUCAUUAUAUAAAUUCAUCUUGACUUACCUUAAUAAUAAGAAAAGGGUUGCAUUCGGGUGAACCAAAAAUUCUAGCUUAGAUUCUCAAUACAAAUAUAAUUAUAUAUGCCUAUUUCUUGUAAACUUGGCCAAUAAAUUUGUAAGUCGAUGUUCUUCAUGAAAAAUUAAAAAUUUUAUUUGAUAUAUUUUUAUACCUUAAAUAUUAGUCUAAUUGUAAUAUAUCAAUUGCUUUUACCAAAAAUUAAGGGUUGAAAAUCUAUCUGACAUAUUUAAUUAUUGCCAUGAAAAAAAAAAGUAACAGUUAAUUUAGUUGGUAAAAAUCUUAAUAAUUUAUUAUAAGAUUUUAAAUUCAAUUCCUGUAUGUCUCUACGUAGGGUCCAUUUCAUAAGUCAACUCUGAUGUGGCAAUUGAAUGGAUUCCAAAUAGAAGUCACGCACCACCGACGACCUUCCCUUUGCUAUUUUGACCAAGGAUACAGUGGUCAACUUUUAUGUGGAAAUUGCAUGGAUUUCAAUGGAACUCACCGGUCAAACGAUGCACGAACAUUAAAUACCAGAACACUACAUUAGUGUAAGCGACAAGGUUUGACGAAUGACUUCGAGCGCAUGCAAAGCGGUCGGUCAGCUCAAAGCUUGAGUCCCGCACUCAUGGUAGCUCUGCGUGUGAACAUCUACCAAGCAUUGAGUGUUGCUGCAGCAAGAAAGAUCUCCUCCUCGCUUCCAUCCCAAUCACAGCUCGUGCAACCACGCCCCUCCAUGGCCAAACUCUGGCCAAUCCUCUGCGUCUUCGGUGCUUCUGUGACUUCGGCCUUCAUCUCCACUGACAGGCUCGGAGGUUCAAGCCCGCAAAGCUCGGAACUCACAGCAGCAAAUCUGACGCAUCUCUUCGACGCCAUGUCCGGCGAGGCCACCACCUCCUUCCACGCCACCUCAGCUCUUCCCAAGAGCUUCGACCCCGCGAACCCUCCAAGAACCGAAGCUCUACCCCUUCUCCUCCUCCAACGAAGCUCGAACACCACCGUGUGCGGCUCGAGCAGUUCUCCUACGGGGUCGGCGGCGCCCUGGCACUCGAUGGUGGAGAUCUCCUCCCAACGCGGGUUGCCUGUCGGAGGGACCUCACGCGUGUCGACGCGAAUUCUUCUCCCGGUUCCUGCCACCACAAAGUAUCUGAUGCUCAGGUUGCCCGGGAGAUCAAGAUCGAAGUUUGACAGUCUAUCAACCUUUAUCUCACAUCUGAGGUGAGAGAGCUCACUGCAAUUAGACAUAACGAAGCGAAUGGAAUGAGAAGGAGAGGUAGAGAGAUCAAAGAAGAGACCGAAGUGGAUAUGACGGUCGUCAGGCAAUGGCUGCUUAUAUACAAGUUGAAAGUGCGAGGGGUGUCUCAGGCAGUGGAAGCGGGCCAAUUUGUUGAUAGCGAAAGAAGAAUAGCUUGAUAUAUAAUUGUGUUGUUUGAUAUGAACCCCAACCCCUGUGGGCACUGCAGAAGAUGGCCAACUGUAAUAGACUUUGGAUGAACCAGGAGCCAGAGGCCACAAAACAAAAAGGGUCAUAUGGAAGUGCUUUUGUGGAGAUAAGGCUCAGCAUGGUGGACUUGUAGCCUCCAUGAAGGAAGUCAAAAGGAUUCAGGCUCCUGUUCGAGGAGAUGUGUGGGUUAUGCAACCACUUACCUUGGUCAUCCACUAAGCCAUAAGCGAGGGAUAGCAGCACUUGGUGGUCUUUGGUCUUCACAUUUGACUUUGGACAGGAAUGUAGGAAGUGCAGCAUUACUUUUUGUUGAGACUCAGAAAUAGGGCCUUUUAAUUUGAAUCAAGUCACAGUAUACAGAUCAAUGCAAGUAGAACACGAAUGAUUCAUGUAAUCAACUUGUGUGGAAGCUAAAGUGUGCAUCUAAUAAGAACUUUGAAAUCUAAUUCUUGAGGUAAACUUGACCUCUUCCUCAAAAUCGAAACAAGUAUCUUUAAAAGCCAUAUAUGUGAACAUAAUUUCUGUUCUUCAUUCUACAUGCUGCCAUAUACAUCAUACAAAGUCAACAUCAAUAAUACACCCUCACCAUUGCUUCCACUCUUCAGUCACAAUAAUACAUGAGAGAGGAUUGGUUUUGACAUGAACAGUCUGUGGAAGCAUCCAUUAUUGCAUGCAGGAUAUUGAGUGCAUCCGACUGUUUUCCCAGUACUGAAUGGGUUGACCAGGAGAUGGGGCUACUCGGUGAGAUUAGUAUGUGGCCCAAACUUCAAAAUGGCUACAAUUCACUCCACAUGUGUGUGUGUGUGUGUGUGAGAGAGAGAGAGAGAGAGAGAGAGAGAUGAAUACAAAUCCAAGAACGAUAGCCAGAUCUGUCAGCAUUGGAUAAAACUCCAUGAGAUUCAAUGGUGAGACAGAGGAGAGAAUCUCGUCUGCAUGGGAUUAAGGAUGAGUCAUGACUUAAUGCUUUACAAAAAGAUUGGCAAGUGUUCAUCAGAUUGACAUGGAUCAAGCGUAGAAAGAAGAUGCAGGAAUGAGAAUGUUGCAGUGCAAACAGGAUCUUGAAUCUGAUAUGAUAGACUAAGGAAUACAGUGAUAAAAUAGUGAUCAAUAGAUAGUUAGAGGAGGAUUAGAAUGGUGAACGAAUUCUUAGAGGAGGAGCUGUGAUCAUAACAUUGAUUGUAAAAUAUAAAGAGCAUGUUUUUCUAACAAUGAAGGAUGAUAACAAAGAUAUCCAUGGAAAAGCUUACCUAUGUUCGAGAAUAGUGGAGAAAUACUCCUCACCUAAUCCAAAUCAAACACAAGAUGCAUUUUUCCAUAUGUUUUAUUUUGCUUAUUCCUUUUGGUUCUGAAUAUUUCAGCUAAUUGGCUAAUCUUCUAUACUUAAAAAGUGUAAAUGAGGUAUUCUUAUCAUUCGACCAGCUUUAAGCAGACACAUGAGUAGUCUCAGAAGUUAUGCUAAUCCUUAAUGGGAUCCUACAAUCCGAUUACUACAUCUGUGUUGCUCUCAUUAUUAGAUUGGGGCCUUCGCAGAUCACAAGUUUGUGGCUUUCACUUUGAAACCUAGUUCUUAUGUUUAUGAAGUACUUCAGUGAAUGGAAGCAUGCAGAUAAAGUUGUGAUGCUUGUUCAAGAGAAAACAAUCUAUGUAGUACUUCAGUGAAUGGAAGCAUGCAGAUAAAAUUCUGAUGCUUGUUCAAGAGAAAACAUUCAUUCUUAGGCAUUGACAUAGAAGACUAAUUCCUUUGUUAUUGUUUUCAUCUUGGUUCUUAUAUUCAACAAAUGUUACAGUUAAAUGGCUCAUGCAAACAUCUCCUGUGGUAAAUGAUCUAAUUCCUUGUGUACUUGGUGGAGGAAUGACUCUUAUUCAAGUUAAUCUAUGUAUUCCAUUGUGGAUGCUCUGGCAAAGAAAACCUCAUCAGCUUCUAAGGAAAAUAUAGAAAGUUCACAAGAUAAAAGGUAAUGUUGUACUUCAACACCCAUCCUCCUUAAUCUCUUCAAAGCUUAGUUGGUCAUGUUUCACCUAUAUCUAGAAUUGCUUUGUGAUUUAUGAGCUCUCUCUACAACCUACAUUAUGGUCCUGCUCAUGAUGCUUAGUUGUGUGUAUGUGUUUGUCCAGAUCUCAUUGGAACUUAGUCAUACAUAUAUCUCUCUCUUCCACUGGAGAAGCUAAUCUAUGAAAUUGCAAAGCAGGUUUUUCUUGUAACGCUGUCAUAGAUUCUUCCAAUUUUAGUGGUAGAAUAUCUAAUAUAUCGACAUAAUUGUAGCAUUUCAGCAAUUUUUCCUUGCAUUGGCAGGUUCCAUACAACUGCUCUAGCAUUUAUCUUUCAUUAAAUCAAUCUGUUUGUUGACCUCAAUGGAAUGACACUCCCACCAAUACGAGAUCCGAGGAGGAGAAUCAAUGUGCCAAACAUAUCAAUGUGCUCUAGCUUGGUUGCUGUCUCUAUGAACUUACUUUUUAAGUGCAUGGAAAAUAUGCAGCCUUAGCAGUACCUUAAUCACAGUGAUGCUUUCAAUAUUCAGUUUUUAUGAUUAGUAGGAGGAGAACACCUUUGCACAACCCAUAACAGAGAUAGGGCACCCUGGCAAUAGUCAAGGGGAAUCAAUGUUAUGCAUGCAUGAUUAGGUAUGAGAUUGAGGGGGAUUGAAGGUUAUGACAUCUGUGUUUUAUUUUUGUGCCUGUUUUGUAGGUUUUCUCCUGAUGCAGUAACUGGUAGCAUAUAGUAAACUUAUUAAGGGCGAGGUUUGAUAAUAUAUUUGCUCUUUUGCGUAACAUAAAAAAGUAUUUUUACUUAUGUUAAUCUUUCACGGAUCUCGCAUUAGUGGAAACCUCAUGUAUAUAAUAUCGGAAGACAACCAAAGGUGCUUAAGCCGAUACGGCACGUUAGGACGGAUUUGAUGCUUGAUAUGUAUAAAGUAGCAAUAAUUUGUCGAUGGUAUUUGAUCCUGCAAUCUUGACUGUAACAUGGUUAGAUAGAACUCUUAUGAUUAAAGCAGUUGUGAUGAUUCAAAUCUACUACUUAUUUUAUUGAGGUGAUUCUUAGUGCACUUAACCUGCCAUCCACAAUAAGAAAAGCAUCAGAUGCCAGUUUCUUGUCUCACUGCUCCUCCUUCACAUUGAUUCAGUGUCUGCAGAAAUCCUCUCCAGGGUUGUGAGGCAUUCACACCUAAGCCAAAGGCGAUCAUCUUUUGAGCACUUCAAUGUAGACCAGAAGAAAAAGGGAAGGAAACUAAUAAACUUCUACUAGUUGCUUGCUCUUUUCAGACUUCUGCUGGUCCAAGCAACAUCUUUUGCUUGCAAAGGGGGAUUCUUUGUUUUCCGAGAGUAAGAACAAAGAGAUGUGCUGCGGUUGGCUGGGUGGUUCUGGUGGGGAACAUCCUCCAAAGAAUUGCAUUUCUUUGGUGAUUGUGAUGGGCAGUAAAGAAGGAUAAAUGGGGUUGAACAUGGUGCCUGGCUGCCUCCGCAGGCCAUGGGGUCCUUUUCACCAAGGUAAGCUCCCAUCUCAUGCCCAUCGACUCUUCCAGUAUGGAACAGCUGUUGUUGAACAUGAAUGAUCAUACCUACCAGUGAGUGACUCAACUACAGGGCAGGUCUUGAUCAUGAAUGAUACACUGUGAGAAGUUGAAAUAGUCCCUCAACUUGGCACCAAUAAGAUUGUGUAUAUUGACCAAAUGACACCAGCAUCAGUACAAGUCUUCUGUACCAAGCCACCUUUUCAAUUAUUGACUGAGUCAAGCAAACUGCGAAGCAGAGAACAAAUCUUAUGAACGAUCGAUGUUCAAGCCGAGAAUACAAUUGCCUCUUUACCCAUAUUUUCUCUCAGCAUACUGUCAAGUAGUUGGCAACUCGUUUAGAUAGAUCCUUCGUAUCUGAAUCAAACACUCAUGGGUUUCGGUAGAUGUCCAAAGGCAGAAGCAGGCGCCUCUGAUAUGGCAAUUAUGUCCCUCACCACUGACAUGGUAAAAGAACAUGUUAUUCCAAUAUUUUUCAGAUCAUAUCCAGAAUAUUGAACAUUGAUAUGGUGUCAGUCUUUCACUCUGCCAUCCACGCAAAAUUACUUACUUGAUGUAUCAUCAAGAGGGGGAAAUCAUGCAGAUUUAAGAUCCAGCACAAUAUUCACACAACUUUGAAUCAGCUUCCAAGUUCUUUCCCCCUCCCUGCAGUCAAAAGUUUGGACAAACCUUCCAGAGUUGAUGAAUUUCUAGGCCACAAUAUCUGAAUUCAACGACUGCAGACAUCAAAUUUUACAUAGCAGGUUGGAUAACUACAAGCUACACAGGACUAUAAUACAACAUUGUUCCUCACUGGUUCUGCUGAGGAAAAAACAAACAGCAGAAAACAGCAGGUCUCAGACACAACCACAACAUACUCUACACCUAAAACCUUAGGCUUGAAUGGACUCUUACACUGAAGACCACAGAGAGAGUCUCUACAGAAGCUCAGCAAAUGUCUAAAAUACCAUUUGCAGCAGCCACUGGAGACAACAGUAACUACCAGACCUGCGUCCUGAGCUACUUACUAACUGCUGGAAGAGAGAAUGGAGUCCCAGUCGAUCUCCCAUGAUGGGCGUUUUUGCAACAUAAAGGUCUCCGAUUCAUCCCACGGCGCCUCGGUAAAAUCCAAAUGCUGCAUCUCAAGCACUGGCGGGGAGCAAGAGGAGUCUUCGCCCUCGGAGGAGCUCCCCGACUUGUUGUCCUCGGAGCCCGCCUUGGGCGCGGCCUCCUUGGUGACCGUUGGCGGCGGAUCGCCGCUGCCGAUUGUUGCGGACUCUGUGAUGGGCUUGAGGGUGGAGCUGGGCAGCGGGCUGCUCCUCUUUUUCGAUUUCGAGGAAUUGGCCAAGCCCUGGCAGAGGGCUUGGAGCUUGGCGUCGACGGUGGAGAGAAGGGGACCUGGGGCGGCGGCGGCGGCGUGCCGGAGGUUGGGGAAGUUGAGCCUGGCGAAGUCCCCGCGGAGCUUGUAGGCGGCCUUGUCGUAGGCGAGUGCGGCUUCCUCGGCGGUGUCGAAGGUCCCAAGCCAGAGGCGCGUCCGGUUCUUGGGGAGACGGAUCUCCGCCACCCACUUGCCCCAGUGGCGCUGCCGCACCCCGCGGUAUAGCUUUGUGGGCUUCGG
rnacentral:lncRNA from 1 species